rnacentral:rRNA from 1 species
UACGGGGGGGGCAAGCGUUGUUCGGAAUUACUGGGCGUAAAGGGCGCGUAGGCGGUUGGAUAAGUCAGCUGUGAAAACCACGGGCUUAACUCGUGGCCUGCAGUUGAGACUGUCUGGCUUGAGUGUGGGAGAGGAGAGUGGAAUUCCAGGUGUAGCGGUGAAAUGCGUAGAUAUCUGGAGGAACACCGGUGGCGAAGGCGGCAUCCUGGGCCGAGAUUGACGCUGAGGCGCGAAAGCCAGGGGAGCAAACGGG